rnacentral:rRNA from 1 species
UGGGGAAUAUUGCACAAUGGGGGAAACCCUGAUGCAGCGACGCCGCGUGAGCGAUGAAGGCUUUCGAGUCGUAAAGCUCUGUCCUAUGGGAAGAUAAUGACGGUACCAUAGAAGAAAGCCCCGGCUAAUUACGUGCCAGCAGCCGCGGUAAUACGUAAGGGGCGAGCGUUGUCCGGAAUUAUUGGGCGUAAAGAGUGCGUAGGCGGCAAAUUAAGUCAGAUGUGAAAACUAAGGGCUCAACCCAUAGAUUGCAUCUGAAACUGAUAUGCUUGAGUCAAGGAGAGGAAAGUGGAAUUCCUAGUGUAGCGGUGGAAUGCGUAGAUAUUAGGGGGAAUACCGGUGGCGAAGGCGACUUUCUGGACUUGAACUGACGCUGAGGCACGAAAGCGUGGGGAGCAAACAGG